GACGAACGCUGGCGGCGUGCUUAACACAUGCAAGUCGAACGGAAAGGCCCUGCUUUUGUGGGGUGCUCGAGUGGCGAACGGGUGAGUAACACGUGAGUAACCUGCCCUUGACUGUGGGAUAACUUCAGGAAACUGGGGCUAAUACCGGAUAGGAGCUCCUGCUGCAUGGUGGGGGUUGGAAAGUUUCGGCGGUUGGGGAUGGACUCGCGGCUUAUCAGCUUGUUGGUGGGGUAGUGGCUUACCAAGGCUUUGACGGGUAGCCGGCCUGAGAGGGUGACCGGCCACAUUGGGACUAAGAUACGGCCCAGACUACUACGGGAGGCAGCAGUGGGGAAUAAUGCACAAUAAGCGGAAGCCUGAUGCAGCAACGACGCGUCCGGGAUGACGGCCUUCGGGUUGUCAUCCGCUUUCGCCUGUGACGAAGCGUGAGUGACGGUAAUGGGUAAAGAAGCACCGGCUAACUACGUG
rnacentral:rRNA from 1 species